CCUACGGGUGGCAGCAGUAGGGAAUAUUGGUCAAUGGGCGGAAGCCUGAACCAGCCAAGUAGCGUGCAGGAUGACGGCCCUACGGGUUGUAAACUGCUUUUAUACGGGAAUAACGCGCCUUACGUGUAGGGCUUUGCAUGUACCGUAUGAAUAAGGACCGGCUAAUUCUGUGCCAGCAGCCGCGGUAAUACGGAAGGUCCGGGGGUUAUCCGGAUUUAUUGGGGUUAAAGGGUGCGCAGGCGGAAGAUCAAGUCAGCGGUAAAAUUGAGAGGCUAAACCUCGUCGAGCCGUUGAAACUGGUUUUCUUGAGUGAGUGCGAGGUAUGCGGAAUGCGUGGUGUAGCGGUGAAAUGCAUAGAUAUCACGCAGAACUCCGAUUGCGAAGGCAGCAUACCGGCGCUCAACUGACGCUCAUGCACGAAAGUGUGGGUAUCGAACAGGAUUAGAUACCCCUGUAGUC
rnacentral:rRNA from 1 species